AGACGUAUCUGAUCCUUCUCUUCAGGUAUUUAACAGAUGUUACCUUAGUUCAUUAUUGCACAAUAAAUUUGCAGUUCCAGUUGUUUACAAUCAUGUGGGAACAUGUCGAAAAUCGUAUUGUGAUAGUACGUGAAAAUAUGGCACGGAUAAUGGUGAUAUCUAUCACACUUUGCAACCACUUGAAAUCACCCGCAUUUUUAUGUAUCGUGCUGGUUAGAGGCUAUGGUUUGUUCUACUCGUCCCCCGUAUAUUGAGUCGCUCAAGUACGCCCUCACCCGUGCAGUGAACAACUCUCCUAUGGAAGCAGUGCGUGCUGCAAUCGAUAAAUGAUCAGAUCGUCUCAACCCAAUGUCCUGGAAAAAAGGUAAUGAAGAUGGUCGAGUUUCGAGCGACAUAGCAUGCGCUGCUAUAACUAUUCCGCAAAUAGUGACGUCACUCGUUGUGUUUAUCUUUGAUUGCCCACGCAUCCAUGGGCCUUAUUCCCGUAUCCACGUACACUUACGUUCCCACUACGCUUACAUCUCACUUCACUUUGUUGUACUUAUUCCCGUUUCGUGAAGUGUAAAAAUGAACUUCGUGUAUUAAGUGGAGUGGAUACCAAAAUGACCGUGUGUUCAUUUCCAAUGUCGUUUCUAAGAGAAACGUCAGUUGUAUUUUGUUUUGUUUAUUCUCGAGUUGUGUCGAUACACCCAGAAAAUGGAUUACUAAAAAAAAGCUUCCAAAUCUUUUGUAAUUCAAACAUUAGUAGAAUGUACAUAUUUUCUGUAAAUAUUACCAAUCGUUUGUAAAAUGAAUGUCAUAUGCAAUACACAUCCCUACCAACGAUUGAUUCAUUUUACUUCGCGGUGUUAGUAACUUUUACGAUUGUCAUUACUGGCAACCGCGAAGAAAAUGUAAAUAUAACAUUAUUAGUCUAAUUACCGAGUUGAUAAUUGAGUUGAACUCCGAUAUUGAUUUCUUCAUAGAAGAUGGUCGUAUUAACCCGAAUUCGGGACAGCAAUGAUUCGUCCUCGUCUGUUGCGGGAGAAUUUGAAGACAUUACUUCAAUAAUAAGGAAUCUAGGUACUUCGAAACACAAAAACGAACUCUGUAGAGUCCUAGAUUAAUCUUUAUGCUAUUGGAUUUGGUCAAGGACAACGUCAUAAACGCUUUGCAGAUUGUGAUCGGUGGUUCGAUCUAUUGGAUGUUUUCCGGAUUCGUCACGACAGAGGUUCCGUAUCCACUGAGGCUGCGCGUCAAGUCAAUAUUGCAACGGGGCAUAAAGCAGGCCUCACCUAAUGCCGCCAGGGCUUCGUCAGCUUCGUGAUAUUUCCCGAUUGUGUUUGGCUGAGAAGUAAUUACACGCUGGUCCUGGGAGAGGAUAAUGCCGUGGAUCAGACCCAAUCGAUGCAGGAUCAGAUGUCUAUAGUUUAGAUAGUUCAAUGAAUAAUUUAAAAAAGUUAGUUGGUUCAAUAAAUGAACAAAUAUGCAUACAAAAGAUGAAUAAAUUAAAUACAAUAUAUGCAUUAAGGUUGGGUUAACAUAACAUGUUUAGGGUGUAUGUUAAAUCAACGUUGAACCGAAUGCUUUUACUGGGUUAUACUGGCCGAUUUAGCAUUUGUUUACCAUUCUUAUCGCGUAAUAUGUACGAUUCUGGAUCAUGAGAAUAGAAUCAAAUUGGUAGUCAAAAAGAAACCAAUUGAAAUGUCAAUAAUCAGGAAGGAAAAAAGUUUCUUUUCUUAAAAUAAACCACAUAGAGGAAGUAUCGUUAU